UUUGCAAUGCUUUUGUGAUUAAUACUAUAUACACACCUCCUGCCUAGCCUAUAGUCUAGAAUAAACCACUUAUACUACGUUUGGCAUAUAUAUAGCUCUCCUUUCCCUGGUGUCUCCCCUAUUACACAAGUAGAUUAUUCAGCAUUCUAAAAACUAAAAGUAAAUAUUUGAUACGACAGAUUUAACAAACAAUCUAACAUCAAUUAUUAUAGCAACACACAAAUUAAUUCUCUCUCUCUCUCUUUUUUUAAACAGUUGAUCAAGAAAAUUUUCUUAUUCGGCGCCAUGUCAUUAUUCUAUGUGUUACUGUCAUCUUUACCCUUCCUCUUUCACUUUAUCGAAAUAUAUCAAAACUGGGAAAGGUAUCAUUUAUCUCUCUGAUUUUAACCAUCAUCAUCCUGAUUGUUGGAAUUAUAAGGGCAAUUACAUUCAGUGCACAAAUGUAAGUAAUCUCUCUCUCUCUCUCUCUCUCUUUCUCUCUCUUUUGAUGCCACAGAAGUUCUGAGAAGUACAGAAUCUUUAUGACUGGUAACAGACAGUAUUUUCUAGGGGAGGUGAAUGUGGUUUCAGAGAGAGUUUGCUUUGGUUGUUGUGCAUGUAUAGUUCUUUUCUGAGGUUUUGCACGUUUUUUAAAAAGUACAAACCCCUGCAAACCUAUUCAUCCGAGACAAAAGCGGGACAUGUCUAAAUAUUGCACUCAUCCCACCGCAGUUCUCUCAAAAUGACUGUCUGUCACAUCCCUUGCUUGCAAAUGCAGUCAUAAUCUCCCCCUGUACUGUGCAUCCAAAUAUUAUAUGUUGACUAAAGAUACUGAUUAGAGAUGGGAUGUAUGUAUGGGUCGCCUUGCAUUGCAGGGAGGUGGAGAAGUGCUGGCUGGGCUACGUUCAGGAUUUGCCGUGACAAGCAGGAUACCAGUCAUGCAUGCCGUCUGGCAAUCUAUCAGUGGGUAGGUUGGUUUGACGAGGCGGGACUGGGCCUCCCAGCCACCUGGGUCCAGGAUGUUCAUAUUCGUAUAUGAAUGCAAGUAUCCCGUCUCUAAUACUGAUACCCCAUGUAGUGUUGUGGAACAACGAUAGACUAG
rnacentral:lncRNA from 1 species